GGGAAGCUCGGCACCAAACAAAGGAAAGCGACCAAGCAUGAGGCAAAGGGAUACGACUGAGAGUGUGGUCGACAUUCAGUACGCUCAAACACAACAACAUUCCGUGCAGACGCCGACCUCAUAUUUACAGUACCCCAGGCCGACGAGAUUCUUUUUUAACAUAAUAUUCCAUCACGACACCAUUCUCCCUUUCAAGUGUGCAUAGUGUGACUAUACGUGAUCCAGUGACGUCGCGCACAAAAGGGGCCCCCAAGAAACUUCGGAGAAAAGGUCCGUUGGAGUCGAGUUCGAAGAAAGGUAUGUUCGAGGCCUAGACUCUAAAAUUCAAAUGUCUCUAAUAAUUAAUACUGAUCACAUCCUAUGCAUAUUUAGGGAAGCUCGGCACCAAACAAAGGAAAGUGACCAAGCACGAGGCAAACGGAUACGGCUAAGAGUGUGGUCGACAUUCAGCAUGCUCAAACACAACAACAUUCCGUGUAGAUGCCGACCUCAUAUUUACAGUACCCUAGACCGACGACAUGUCCCUUAACACAAUAUUCCAUCACGACACCAUUCUCCCUUUCAAGUGUGCUGCCGUCUUCAAAUUUCGUCCCUCCU
rnacentral:lncRNA from 1 species